CUCACAGAUCUCACACCCAGGCUCCCUGGGGCCCUAGAUGAGAAUUAGUCAAGACUGUUAAGACAGUCAAGCUUUUUGCUCCUGGCAAUCCCAGCAGAAGAAGGCGAAUUUUCUGCAUGAAGUUGAACUGGAGUCCCACACCGAACUUCCCUCAGCCAGGUCCUAAGACUUCUGAAGGCUUGCUGGGGAACAGCGUCUCCUCAAAGCAGGGAGGAUCACCCCAGGAUUCCCAGGCCAGGAGCCUCACAAAACCCCCCAGCACAAAAUAAAUCUUCCUUUAAAAGUUUGGGGCACAGGGUGGAAGCUAGAGAGACAGUUCAGCAGUUAAGAUACAGGCAACUCUUGCAGAGGAUACAAGUUCAGUUGCUGACACAUUAGGUGGCUCACAGCGUACCUCCAGCUCUGGUAGACUCAACCCGCUCCUGGCCUCUGCUGGCACUUCCCUUGUGCGUACAUACCUACACACAGAAACAAAACUAAAGCUAAAAUAAAUCUUUAAAAAUCCCCUAAACCAGCCAGGCAUAGCACUGUACACCUUUAAUCCCAGCACUUGGGAGGCAGAGGCAGGCAGAUCUCUAAGUUUGAGUCCAGCCUGGUCUACAGAGUAAGUUCCAGGACAGCCAGGGUUACACAGAGCAACUCUGUCUUGAAAAACCGAAACCAAACCAAACCAAAAAAAGAAAAAAGAAGAAAAGAAAAGAACCCCCCCCCCAAACCCGAGCAGCCCAUAGUCCCUGAGAACAUCAUAGCACAGACUGUCCUGCCUCACAGCAUCCUUGGGCACGGCCCAAUACUGGCCACCCCUGUCUGGGUGAGAAUGCGGGUACUGUCCCUGAAGUCAAGUCCGGUUAAGGCCUGAGUGUAUAAUUCCAGCUCUCAGGAGACAUGGGAAAAAGACUGCCUGAGCCAACCUUGGUAUCUUUGUAGGAUAAUUUGAAUUCUCCUUGAAAGUCUCAAAGCUCCUCCAAGGUACUGAGCUCCCACCAGCAAGAGAGCCCACACUGCUUAUUUGUAGUGGAGGCUCUGGAGUUGCACACUUGUGUGAGGUCUCCUCAUCCAGGGUAGCAGGAGACUCCUCAGAGGGUACAGUCACCACCCUUCCCAGAAAGUACCCUCUGUUUUCUCUCAUGAACCCUUUUCUAGGCACGCAGCCAGGAGACCGUCCUCCCCAGGAAACCAUGGCAACUACAGACCUCGGAGGAACACUGCCUCAUGUGUCAUCAUUGUAAAAAAUUAAUGCUUCAAAUCGACUGUUAGGGUGUUUACCCAGAGCAACUCGGACAUCCCAUCAGUCUUUGCAGAGCAACAAGAGCUCGCCGGAAUUGUUAACUUCGAUGGGUUCCCGUGGAUCCGAGUGGAGCGGGGAGGUCUGGACCUGGCUGCCUGCUUGCUGAGUCAGAGCAGGCCUGGUCACUGACACAGGCUACCCCCUGGGCCAUAACUGCCCCUUUCCUCUGGAGAAGAGGACAGAGAGACACCUGCACAGAGUCACAGAUCACAGGGCUAGAAGAGGGCCUGCAGGAUCUGAUAAUCACUUCCUCCCCUUUCCCUCCUCCCUGCUUCCUGCUUCCUGAGUCCUCCUUCCCCCUCUCAUCCUCUUUCUCCCCCUCUCAUUCCCCUUGUUUCCUCUACGUUUUCUUCCUCACCACCACCAUCUCCACCCCACCCCACCCCCUUAUCUUUCUUUUCCCACACACUGAGAAGCAGG
rnacentral:lncRNA from 1 species